rnacentral:rRNA from 1 species
AUAUCAAUAAGCGGAGGUUUUGAAACCAACUGGGAUUGCCUUAGUAACGGCGAGUGAAGCGGCAAAAGCUCAAAUUUGAAAUCUGGUACCUUUGGUGCCCGAGUUGUAAAAAGGAGAGUACCACUUUGGGACUGUACAAAGCCUAUGUUCCUUGGAACAGGACGUCAUGGAGGGUGAGAAUCCCGUGUGGCGAGGGUGUCAGUUCAAUGUAAAGGGUGCUCGAAGAGUCGAGAAGUUUGGGAAUGCAGCUCUAAGUGGGUGGUAAAUUCCAUCUAAAGCUAAAUACAGGCGAGAGACCGAUAGCGAACAAGUACAGUGAUGGAAAGAUGUUUAGAACUUUGAAAAGAGAGUGAAAAAGUACGUGAAAUUGUUGAAAGGGAAGGGCAUUUGAUCAGACAUGGUGAAAAGCGCCCCUUGCCUCUCGUGGGCUUGGGACUCUCGCAGCUCACUGGGCCAGCAUCGGUAAUCCGGGCCGGAAAAAACCUAGGGAAUGUGGCUCUGCGCCUCGGUGUAGAGUGUUAUAGCCCUGGGGAAUACGGCCAGUCGGGACCGAGGACUGCGAUACUUGUUAUCUAGGAUGCUGGCAUAAUGGAAAUAUGCCGC